CAAGCAAGCUGGACAGCCGCGCGGCCAGGCCGAAAGGCCGUCCGUGAGGAAAGUCCGGGCUCCACAGGGCAAGGAUAACGGGUAACACCCGCCGGGGGCGACCCCAGGAAAAGUGCAACAGAAAUAGACUGCCCGGCUGGUCUUGGCCAGCCAGGUAAAGGUGGAAAGGUGAGGUAAGAGCUCACCCAAUGGCGUGUGAAAGCGACCAUUGCUGUAAACUCUAUCCGGAGCAACGCCGUGGGGACACAACAGGCUGGCCCGGCCGUGUCCAGGAGGCGGCUGGAGCGCGUCGGCAACGGCGCGUCGAGAUAGAUGGCUGUCUUAAAAGACAGAACCCGGCUUACAGGCUUACUUGCACC
rnacentral:RNase_P_RNA from 1 species